rnacentral:misc_RNA from 1 species
UUUCCGUAGGUGAACCUGCGGAAGGAUCAUUACUGGAUUUUGAAACUUCAGGCUGCUGCUGGCUCUCCUCGGAGGGCAUGUGCACGCUUGUUGUCCAUUAUUUCUCCCACUGUGCACAAAUUGUAGACCUUUCAGUAGGCCUAUGUUGUUUUUCACAAUCUCUGAAUGUAAUAGAAUGGUUUUGAAUCUUGGGAAAUACAAUACAACUUUCAGCAACGGAUCUCUUGGCUCUC